rnacentral:rRNA from 1 species
AUGCACGUGUGCCUACCCUCCUUGCCCAUGAGUACCUGCAACAACAGCAGAUACCGGUCAGAUAAAUACUACACAAAUCAUGUGCAUGGCCUAGCAGGUGAUAAUGGCGCCGCGAGGAUUCGCUGCCGUGAGGAGGACCCCGACCCGUAUGAUGGCCACCGGAAGGUCACACACUUCUUUGGCUCGCUCAGACUGGCUCCAUUGACAGCUUCUCUAAGGUAUAUUUGUUGGGUUCCUCUUGGCGUGUUGAACAAAAAUUGGCGUUCAGCACUGCUAUUUAAAGAUGGUUUGAUCAGUAGUAGGGAAAACCCAUAG